GAUGAACGCUGGCGGCGUGCCUAAUACAUGCAAGUCGAGCGAACAGAUGAGGAGCUUGCUCCUCUGACGUUAGCGGCGGACGGGUGAGUAACACGUGGAUAACCUACCUAUAAGACUGGGAUAACUUCGGGAAACCGGAGCUAAUACCGGAUAAUAUAUUGAACCGCAUGGUUCAAUAGUGAAAGACGGUUUUGCUGUCACUUAUAGAUGGAUCCGCGCCGCAUUAGCUAGUUGGUAAGGUAACGGCUUACCAAGGCAACGAUGCGUAGCCGACCUGAGAGGGUGAUCGGCCACACUGGAACUGGGACACGGUCCACGCUCCUACGGGAGGCAGCAGUAGGGAAUCUUCCGCAAUAGGCGAAAGCCUGACGGAGCAACGCCGCGUGAGUGAUGAAGGUCUUCGGAUCGUAAAACUCUGUUAUUAGGGAAGAACAAAUGUGUAAGUAACUAUGCACGUCUUGACGGUACCUAAUCAGAAAGCCACGGCUAACUACGUG
rnacentral:rRNA from 1 species